AGUGAACGCUGGCGGCGUGCUUAACACAUGCAAGUCGAACGAGAACGGAUUAUAGCUUGCUAUAAUUGUCAGCUAAGUGGCGCACGGGUGAGUAAUGUAUAGGUAAUAUGCCUCUUACUAAGGGAUAACAAAUGGAAACGUUUGCUAAUACCUUAUACUCCUUAUUAACAUAAGUUAAUAAGGGAAAGAUUUAUUGGUAAGAGAUUAGCCUGUAUUGUAUCAGUUAGUUGGUGGGGUAAUGGCUUACCAAGACUAUGACACAUAACUGGUUUGAGAGGAUGAUCAGUCACACUGGAACUGAGACACGGUCCAGACUCCUACGGGAGGCAGCAGUGGGGAAUAUUGCACAAUGGACGAAAGUCUGAUGCAGCAACGCCGCGUGGAGGAUGACACAUUUCGGUGCGUAAACUCCUUUUAUAUGAGAAGAUAAUGACGGUAUUAUAUGAAUAAGCACCGGCUAACUCCGUGCCAGCAGCCGCAGUAACAC
rnacentral:rRNA from 1 species